AUGGAGAGACCUGGGGGAGGAGGACAAGGUGGGCCACCCCUCCGGACACCCCAGGGCAGAGCAGCCCGAGGAGUGCCCACCACCGCCACGUGUCCCAUGCACAGCCCCAAGAGUGGGGCACUGCACACGUGUACGAGGCCCUGUAGGCACUGCAGGCCUCCUGCCCUGCCUUGGCACCCCCCGAGCAAACCCCUCUCUUCCCCGGCAGCUGCUGCUGGAGGGGAAGCGGUUAACACGGUGCCUUGCCCUUCCUGCCCGGGUGACUCAGAGCUGCAGCAAGAGGCGGCAGGACCGGCUGCGGAGCGCAGGGCUGGACGGACCUGCUGCACCGAGCAGAGCGCCGCACGGGCAGGCACACGCACGCACCGUGCACGCCAGCCCCGCGCCCGUCCGCUGGCGAGGAUCAAGCAGAAGCAAAGUUCGUGGCGAUACACCCCCGCACGCAGGGGGUUGCGACGGCGCGGAGAAGCCCUGCAGCCUCAGAGCUAUUUAUCCUUCCUGUCCCUGCUCCCUCGCCGCCUUGUUAUUAGGUGUCUGCUCUGGGGCUGGCAAAGUAAUCAGUGUUCCCUGUCUCGUGUCACCGAGCCGCGGCUGUCUGCGGGCUGCCCUCCUGUCACCUGCUCUCUCUCCAGCCUAAUGCGCCCAUCAGUCACCGUCCCCUGGGAGCCGGGAGGAAGGCAGCCAGGGCCCCCUCCUGCCGCGCUGCCAUGCUGGCACUGUGGCGGCAGCGUCCUCCUGGCAGCAAGCAGCGGGGCCUGCUCUGCAGACAGCAGCGCAGAGGUUGGAAACAAAGGGGCACUUCUGCAAGGCAGCGAGCACUCGGCCCAGGCAGGGGUGCAGAGCCCAUCGAGGAGGCUGCUGCAGGGAAAGGACCAUCUAUGCAGCUCGGCCAGGCAGGGCCAGCUCCUCCAAGUCCUGCCGGAGAAGAAUAAUGUCUUCUCUCCACCCAAGUCUCCCAUGUUCUUGGUGCUUGCUCUCCAGCACAUCGGUGCACCCAGAGGAGCAGCUGAGCUCGAGGAGAGGCUGAAGGCUGGCUGCCAACGGGGGAUGCUGAGCGCAGAGUCCUGGGGAGCGGGGCUGCUGCUCCUGGUGGCUCGGGGCUCGGCAGACUGAGGAGGGGAAGGAGCCCACGUGGG
rnacentral:lncRNA from 1 species